AGAGUUUGAUCAUGGCUCAGAACGAACGCUGGCGGCAGGCCUAACACAUGCAAGUCGAGCGAGACCUUCGGGUCUAGCGGCGGACGGGUUAGUAACGCGUGGGAACGUGCCCUUCUCUGCGGAAUAGCCACUGGAAACGGUGAGUAAUACCGCAUACGCCCUUCGGGGGAAAGAUUUAUCGGAGAAGGAUCGGCCCGCGUUAGAUUAGAUAGUUGGUGGGGUAAUGGCCUACCAAGUCUACGAUCUAUAGCUGGUUUUAGAGGAUGAUCAGCAACACUGGGACUGAGACACGGCCCAGACUCCUACGGGAGGCAGCAGUGGGGAAUCUUAGACAAUGGGCGCAAGCCUGAUCUAGCCAUGCCGCGUGUGUGAUGAAGGUCUUAGGAUCGUAAAGCACUUUCGCCAGGGAUGAUAAUGACAGUACCUGGUAAAGAAACCCCGGCUAACUCCGUGCCAGCAGCCGCGGUAAUACGGAGGGGGUUAGCGUUGUUCGGAAUUACUGGGCGUAAAGCGUACGUAGGCGGAUCAGAAAGUAAGGGGUGAAAUCCCAGGGCUCAACCCUGGAACUGCCUCUUAAACUCCUGGUCUUGAGUUCGAGAGAGGUGAGUGGAAUUCCAAGUGUAGAGGUGAAAUUCGUAGAUAUUUGGAGGAACACCAGUGGCGAAGGCGGCUCACUGGCUCGAUACUGACGCUGAGGUACGAAAGUGUGGGGAGCAAACAGGAUUAGAUACCCUGGUAGUCCACACCGUAAACGAUGAAUGCCAGUCGUCGGGCAGUAUACUGUUCGGUGACACACCUAACGGAUUAAGCAUUCCGCCUGGGGAGUACGGUCGCAAGAUUAAAACUCAAGGGAAUUGACGGGGGCCCGCACAAGCGGUGGGAGCAUGUGGGUUUAUUCGAAGCAACCGCGCAGAACCUUACCAACCCUUUGACAUCCUGUGCUAACCCGAGAGAUCGGGCGUUCACUUCCGGUGACGCAUGACAGGUGCU
rnacentral:rRNA from 1 species